GAUGAACGCUGGCGGCGUGCCUAAUACAUGCAAGUCGAGCGAACAGACGUGGAGCUUGCUCCUCUGACGUUAGCGGCGGACGGGUGAGUAACACGUGGAUAACCUACCUAUAAGACUGGGAUAACUUCGGGAAACCGGAGCUAAUACCGGAUAAUAUAUUGAACCGCAUGGUUCAAUAGUGAAAGACGGUUUUGCUGUCACUUAUAGAUGGAUCCGCGCCGCAUUAGCUAGUUGGUAAGGUAACGGCUUACCAAGGCAACGAUGCGUAGCCGACCUGAGAGGGUGAUCGGCCACACUGGAACUGAGACACGGUCCAGACUCCUACGGGAGGCAGCAGUAGGGAAUCUUCCGCAAUGUGGAAAGCCUGACGGAGCAACGCCGCGUGAGUGAUGAAGGUCUUCGGAUCGUAAAACUCUGUUAUUAGGGAAGAACAAAUGUGUAAGUAACUAUGCACGUCUUGACGGUACCUAAUCAGAAAGCCACGGCUAACUACGUG
rnacentral:rRNA from 1 species